rnacentral:rRNA from 1 species
AGUGAACGCUGGCGGUAGGCCUAACACAUGCAAGUCGAACGGCAGCACAGUAAGAGCUUGCUCUUACGGGUGGCGAGUGGCGGACGGGUGAGGAAUACAUCGGAAUCUACUUUUUCGUGGGGGAUAACGUAGGGAAACUUACGCUAAUACCGCAUACGACCUACGGGUGAAAGCAGGGGAUCUUCGGACCUUGCGCGAUUGAAUGAGCCGAUGUCGGAUUAGCUAGUUGGCGGGGUAAAGGCCCACCAAGGCGACGAUCCGUAGCUGGUCUGAGAGGAUGAUCAGCCACACUGGAGCUGGGACACGGUCAAUACUCCUACGGGAGGCAGCAGUGGGGAAUAUUGGACAAUGGGCGCAAGCCUGAUCCAGCCAUACCGCGUGGGUGAAGAAGGCGUUCGGGUUGUAAAGCCCUUUUGUUGGGAAAGAAAAGCAGCAGGUUAAUACCCCGCUGUUCUGACGGUACCCAAAGAAUAAGCACCGGCUAACUUCGUG